CCUACGGGUGGCAGCAGUGGGGAAUAUUGGGCAAUGGACGCAAGCCUGACCCAGCAACGCCGCGUGAAGGAAGACGGCUUUCGGGUUGUUAACUUCUUUUCUCAGGGACGAAGAAAGUGACGGUACCUGAGGAAUAAGCCACGGCUAACUACGUGCCAGCAGCCGCGGUAAUACGUAGGUGGCAAGCGUUAUCCGGAUUCAUUGGGUGUACAGGGCGUGUAGGCGGGAGCGUAAGUCAGAUGUGAAAACUCAGGGCUCAACCCUGGGACUGCAUUUGAUACUGUGUGUCUUGAGUGCUGGAGAGGCAAGCGGAAUGCAGGGUGUAGCGGUGAAAUGCGUAGAUAUA
rnacentral:rRNA from 1 species